GGUCAAGGGAGAAAGGGCUAAGGGUGGAUGCCUUGGCACCAGUGUGCGAAGAAGGACGUGAAAAGCUGCGAAAAGCGUCGGGGAGUCGCAAAUGGCGUAGAUCCGGCGAUAUCCGAAUGGGGCAACCCGGCCAGGGUCAUGCCUGGUCAUCCCUGUUAAGGGAGGCGCACCCGGGGAAUUGAAACAUCUUAGUACCCGGAGGAAAAGAAAUCAAAUGAGAUUCCCCGAGUAGUGGCGAGCGAAAAGGGAAUAGCCCAAACCGGUGGGCAUGCUCACCGGGGUUGUAGGACUCCUGUAAGCAUCAUGGAAUCUAGCAGAACGGUUCUGGGAAGGCCGGCCGUAGAGGGUGAAAGCCCCGUAUGCGAAAGAGGAAGUGAGCGAGGAGUAUCCUGAGUAGCACGGAAUUCGUGGAGUUCUGUGUGAAGCUGGGGGGACCACCCUCCAAGGCUAAAUAACACUGGUGACCGAUAGUGGACGAGUACCGUGAGGGAAAGGCGAAAAGAACCCCUGAUAGGGGAGUGAAAUAGAACCUGAAAUCCUUAGCCUACAAGCUGUAGGAGCCCGCGAGGGUGACUGCGUGCCUAUUGAAGAAUGAGCCUGCGAGUUACAGGUAGUUGCGAGGUUAAUCCCUGAAGGGGAGUAGCCGAAGCGAAAGCGAGUCUGAAUAGGGCGUCUAGUAGCUAUCUGUAGACCCGAAGCCGCGUGAGCUAACCAUGGGCAGAAUGAAGUCUCGGUAACACGGGAUGGAGGUUCGAACCGGUAGGCGUUGAAAAGUCUUCGGAUGACCUGUGGUUAGGAGUGAAAGGCCAAACGAACGUGGCGAUAGCUGGUUCUUCCCGAAAAGUAUUUAGGUGCUGCCCUGUGUGGCAAGUGCUGGGGGUAGAGCGCUGGAUCGGGAAGGGGGAUUUAUCCUACCGACCCGAACCAAACUACGAAUACCGCACCCGAGGCACAGGAGUAAGAAUAUGGGGAUAAGCUCCAUAUUCGAGAGGGAAACAGCCCAGAUCGUCGGCUAAGGUCCCCAAAUACCGCUAAGUGGAUAAGGAAGUGGAAUGACCGAGACAGCCAGGAGGUUGGCUUAGAAGCAGCCAUCCUUUAAAGAGUGCGUAAUAGCUCACUGGUCGAGUUAUUUUGCGCCAAAAAUGUACGGGGCUAAGCGGUAUACCGAAGCCACGAACUCGGAAGAGUGGUAGGGAAGCGUUCUACGAGCGACGAAGGUUUACCGUGAGGUAAGCUGGAGCGAGUAGAAGUGAGAAUGCAGGCAUGAGUACACGAUAAAACGGGUAAAAAACCCGUUCGCCGAAAGCACAAGGGUUCCUGGGCUACGAUAUUCGACCCAGGGUUAGCCGGCCCCUAAGGUGAGGCCGAAAGGCGUAGCUGAUGGGAAUACGGUUGAUAUUCCGUAGCCACCUGUUGGAGUGAUGGGGUGACGCCCUGCAUAGAGCCAUGCGGACUGACGGAUGUUCGUCGAAGCCAUUGAGGCUGGUGUGAGUGAAAUGCUUGCGCCGCAAAGCCAAGUGGUGAGCGAUCCUUCUUUCGGGGAGGAGAAGAUGGCCGAGUGUAGGGCCGAGAAAGAGCCUCUAAGCGAUGAAGACAGGUGACCGUACCAAAACCGACACAGGUGUGCGGGGUGAAUAACCUAAGGCGCUCGAGAUAACUCUCGCUAAGGAACUCUGCAAAAUAGCCCCGUAACUUCGGGAGAAGGGGUGCCUGCGAAAGCAGGUCGCAGUAAAGAGGCUCAGGCGACUGUUUACCAAAAACACAAGACUCUGCAAACUCGUAAGAGGAGGUAUAGGGUCUGAAACCUGCCCAGUGCCGGAAGGUCAAGAGGAGGUGUUAGCUGAUGAGGCGAAGCAUCGAAUCUAAGCCCCGGUAAACGGCGGCCGUAACUAUAACGGUCCUAAGGUAGCGAAAUUCCUUGUCGGGUAAGUUCCGACCCGCAUGAAUGGUCCAACGAUCUGAGCGCUGUCUCAGCGAGAGGCUCGGUGAAAUUGUAUGCUCGGUGAAGAUACCGAGUACCUACGGCAGGACAGAAAGACCCCGUGGACCUUUACUACAACUUGGCGUUGAAAUUUGGUUUACCAUGCGCAGGAUAGGUAGGAGGCUGUGAAGUGGGUGCUCUGGUGCUCAUGGAGCCGACCUUGAGAUACUACCCUUGGUGAAUUGGAUUUCUAACUCUCGCCUUGCAAUCGGGGUGGAGGACAGCGUCUGGUGGGUAGUUUGACUGGGGCGGUCGCCUCCUAAAGGGUAACGGAGGCGCCCAAAGGUUCCCUCAGCAUGGUUGGAAAUCAUGCAGAGUGUAAAGGCAGAAGGGAGCUUGACUGUGAGGCCGACGGGCCGAGCAGGGACGAAAGUCGGGCUUAGUGAUCCGUGGUUGCGCGGAAAUGCCAUCGCUCAACGGAUAAAAGGUACCCCGGGGAUAACAGGCUGAUCUUCCCCAAGAGUUCAUAUCGACGGGAAGGUUUGGCACCUCGAUGUCGACUCAUCGCAUCCUGGGGCUGGAGAAGGUCCCAAGGGUUGGUCUGUUCGCCCAUUAAAGCGGUACGUGAGUUGGGUUCAAUACGUCGUAAGACAGUAUGGUCCCUAUCCGCCGUAGGCGUUUGGGCACUUGAGGGGAGCUGCUCCUAGUACGAGAGGACCGGAGUGGACGAACCGCUAGUGUACCUGUUGUCACGCCAGUGGCAUAAGCAGGGUAGCUAUGUUCGGAAGAGAUAACCGCUGAAAGCAUCUAAGCGGGAAACUCGCCCCAAGAUGAGGUGCUCCUUAUGGUCCGUGGAAGACUACCACGUUGAUAGGCUACAGGUGUAAGCGCAGUAAUGCGUUGAGCCGAGUAGUACUAAUCGGCCAUUAGCCUUGACCUU
rnacentral:rRNA from 1 species